GUGCAGAAUUGUAAGGCGAACAUCGCUGCCCGGAAAGCAGAAGAUGCGGGUUCGAGUCCCGCCUGGCGCA
rnacentral:tRNA from 1 species